rnacentral:rRNA from 1 species
UACGUAGGCAGCGAGCGUUGUUCGGAAUUACUGGGCGUAAAGAGUGUGUAGGCGGUGUUCCCAGUCUGUUGUGAAAUCUCCCGGCUUAACUGGGAGGGUGCAGCGGAAACUAGAAUGCUAGAGGGUUGGAGAGGUAAGCGGAAUUCCUGGUGUAGCGGUGAAAUGCGUAGAUAUCAGGAGGAACACCUGUGGUGUAGACAGCUUACUGGACCACUUCUGACGCUGAGACACGAAAGCGUGGGUAGCAAACAGG